CACACCCUUCAUGGAAUCCUUUUUCUCUCAUCUUUUUCUUUCUCCUUUUACUCUGUGUGGUCCCCCUCCCACUCUUGGGAGAGUGAGAGACCAAAAGCCUGGAGCCCACUGGGGAGCCAGCUGAGCACUCCCCUGCACCCUAAAAACCCGGCAACGUUACUGGUGAGCAAGCAAACGUUACUGGGGUACAGCCAGGAGAAGAAGACAUCAAACUGGACAUCAAACUCCCACCCACAUCAAGAAGCAGAUGCGCCAUGCUUCCAGUACAGCCUGAAGAACUCUGAGCCAAUGUCUUUAUAAAUGAUCCAGUCUCAGGAACGCCUCCUCUUGGAACCCAGACACCUGGUAGGAAGUCUGGCCAACCUGAGACUACCAUCAUGUGAGGAAGCCCAAGCAGCCACUUGAAAAGAGAGAAGGGGGUUACACAUGGAAAAGCACCAAGGUGCCAGAUACGGGAAGGAAGCUCCCACUCUGUCCACAGCCCAUGCACACAUCUGGCUGGUAACUGACUCAGCUGAAGGCUAAUGUCAGUGAAGAGUCCCAGAGAAUGACCCCUGCUGAUGCCACAUAGAGCAGAACCGCUUAAGCCUUGUGGAAAUUUCUGGCUCACAAAAUGGUGGCACACAAAAUGGUUGUUCUUUCAUCUCUAGCCUUUGGGGUAGCUCACUGUGCAGCAAUAUCUAACCAGCACACUUCUGCCAUGCACUGUGCACUUUAGACGCACUGACUCCUUACAAAAGCCCUGUGAGUUUUGAGAAUAUUAUGAUCCCCAAUAUACAGAUGAGGAAACAGGUAGACAGACAGUAACAUGCCCAAAGCUCAAAUAAGCAGUUAGCAGUGCCUAACACACAGGGCUGUUUAGAAUUAAAUGAACUGGCAUACAAGAUGCCUACUCCUGGGUCAUAACGAGUGAUUGAUAUAUGUGAGAAAAGGAACAGACUCAUGAAGAUUGAUGUUAAACUGGCUGGAAAAUUGGGGCAGGGGACACAGUUCCUGUCAUCACACAGUGAAUUCCUUUUGUGACACCAUGAGAGAGAUUUCCCGUGAGCUUCACCACUAGGAACAAGAUGAGCCGUGCGUUUUUUGGUACACAGCUAUGGAGUGUGUGUGUGCACUUCCUGAGGGCCACUGCAAGUACUACUACUUGUUGGUUUCUCUCUUUGCAUUGGCUGCUAGGAAAUUCAGAGCCAAAUCUUCAGCUGAGCUCUAAAAACCAAAGAGGAACUCAUGGCAUCCAUUUUGUUUGCUGAUAUUACUUUGAGUAUCUUCCCAAUUUUUCUAUUUUUCUUUUCCCUUCC